GUAUUGAUUGCGUGUGACCGCAAAAUAAAUAAAUAAAAAGAACAUUCUACACUGUAUCAAGUUUUAUGUGAAAACGCAAGCCCUCCUGCAAAGGGGGGCCCACGCGGUGAUGCACAAAAGGGGUGAGAUGGAUUGUUUGAGAGCGCUCGGGCGUGCACGACAAAAAAGUCAGCGACAGCCCUUGCACCUCAGUUUUACGAUAAUGAUCCUUCCGCAGGUUCACCUACGGAAA
rnacentral:misc_RNA from 1 species